rnacentral:rRNA from 1 species
GUAGGUGGCAAGCGUUGUCCGGAUUUAUUGGGCGUAAAGGGAGCGCAGGCGGUCUGUUAAGUCUGAAUGUGAAAGCCCUCAGCUUAACUGAGGAAGAGCAUCAGAAACUGGCAGACUUGAGUGCAGAAGAGGAGAGUGGAACUCCAUGUGUAGCGGUGAAAUGCGUAGAUAUAUGGAAGAACACCACUGGCGAAGGCGGCUCUCUGGUCUGUAACUGACGCUGAGGCUCGAAAGCAUGGGUAGCGAACAGGAUUAGAUACCCUGGUAGUCCAUGCCGUAAACGAUGAGUGCUAAGUGUUGGGAGGUUUCCGCCUCUCAGUGCUGCAGCUAACGCAUUAAGCACUCCGCCUGGGGAGUACGACCGCAAGGUUG